CACAUAUUGUGAGCUCGAUGAGUAGGGCGGGACACGUGGUAUCCUGUCUGAAUAUGGGGGGCCCAUCCUCCAAGGCUAAAUACUCCUGACUGACCGAUAGUGAACCAGUACCGUGAGGGAAAGGCGAAAAGAACCCCGGCGAGGGGAGUGAAAAAGAACCUGAAACCGUGUACGUACAAGCAGUGGGAGCACGCUUAGGCGUGUGACUGCGUACCUUUUGUAUAAUGGGUCAGCGACUUAUAUUCUGUAGCAAGGUUAACCGAAUAGGGGAGCCGAAGGGAAACCGAGUCUUAACUGGGCGUUAAGUUGCAGGGUAUAGACCCGAAACCCGGUGAUCUAGCCAUGGGCAGGUUGAAGGUUGGGUAACACUAACUGGAGGACCGAACCGACUAAUGUUGAAAAAUUAGCGGAUGACUUGUGGCUGGGGGUGAAAGGCCAAUCAAACCGGGAGAUAGCUGGUUCUCCCCGAAAGCUAUUUAGGUAGCGCCUCGUGAAUUCAUCUCCGGGGGUAGAGCACUGUUUCGGCAAGGGGGUCAUCCCGACUUACCAACCCGAUGCAAACUGCGAAUACCGGAGAAUGUUAUCACGGGAGACACACGGCGGGUGCUAACGUCCGUCGUGAAGAGGGAAACAACCCAGACCGCCAGCUAAGGUCCCAAAGUCAUGGUUAAGUGGGAAACGAUGUGGGAAGGCCCAGACAGCCAGGAUGUUGGCUUAGAAGCAGCCAUCAUUUAAAGAAAGCGUAAUAGCUCACUGGUCGAGUCGGCCUGCGCGGAAGAUGUAACGGGGCUAAACCAUGCACCGAAGCUGCGGCAGCGACGCUUAUGCGUUGUUGGGUAGGGGAGCGUUCUGUAAGCCUGCGAAGGUGUGCUGUGAGGCAUGCUGGAGGUAUCAGAAGUGCGAAUGCUGACAUAAGUAACGAUAAAGCGGGUGAAAAGCCCGCUCGCCGGAAGACCAAGGGUUCCUGUCCAACGUUAAUCGGGGCAGGGUGAGUCGACCCCUAAGGCGAGGCCGAAAGGCGUAGUCGAUGGGAAACAGGUUAAUAUUCCUGUACUUGGUGUUACUGCGAAGGGGGGACGGAGAAGGCUAUGUUGGCCGGGCGACGGUUGUCCCGGUUUAAGCGUGUAGGCUGGUUUUCCAGGCAAAUCCGGAAAAUCAAGGCUGAGGCGUGAUGACGAGGCACUACGGUGCUGAAGCAACAAAUGCCCUGCUUCCAGGAAAAGCCUCUAAGCAUCAGGUAACAUCAAAUCGUACCCCAAACCGACACAGGUGGUCAGGUAGAGAAUACCAAGGCGCUUGAGAGAACUCGGGUGAAGGAACUAGGCAAAAUGGUGCCGUAACUUCGGGAGAAGGCACGCUGAUAUGUAGGUGAAGUCCCUUGCGGAUGGAGCUGAAAUCAGUCGAAGAUACCAGCUGGCUGCAACUGUUUAUUAAAAACACAGCACUGUGCAAACACGAAAGUGGACGUAUACGGUGUGACGCCUGCCCGGUGCCGGAAGGUUAAUUGAUGGGGUCAGCGCAAGCGAAGCUCUUGAUCGAAGCCCCGGUAAACGGCGGCCGUAACUAUAACGGUCCUAAGGUAGCGAAAUUCCUUGUCGGGUAAGUUCCGACCUGCACGAAUGGCGUAAUGAUGGCCAGGCUGUCUCCACCCGAGACUCAGUGAAAUUGAACUCGCUGUGAAGAUGCAGUGUACCCGCGGCAAGACGGAAAGACCCCGUGAACCUUUACUAUAGCUUGACACUGAACAUUGAGCCUUGAUGUGUAGGAUAGGUGGGAGGCUUUGAAGUGUGGACGCCAGUCUGCAUGGAGCCGGCCUUGAAAUACCACCCUUUAAUGUUUGAUGUUCUAACGUGGACCCGUGAUCCGGGUUGCGGACAGUGUCUGGUGGGUAGUUUGACUGGGGCGGUCUCCUCCUAAAGAGUAACGGAGGAGCACGAAGGUUGGCUAAUCCUGGUCGGACAUCAGGAGGUUAGUGCAAUGGCAUAAGCCAGCUUGACUGCGAGCGUGACGGCGCGAGCAGGUGCGAAAGCAGGUCAUAGUGAUCCGGUGGUUCUGAAUGGAAGGGCCAUCGCUCAACGGAUAAAAGGUACUCCGGGGAUAACAGGCUGAUACCGCCCAAGAGUUCAUAUCGACGGCGGUGUUUGGCACCUCGAUGUCGGCUCAUCACAUCCUGGGGCUGAAGUAGGUCCCAAGGGUAUGGCUGUUCGCCAUUUAAAGUGGUACGCGAGCUGGGUUUAGAACGUCGUGAGACAGUUCGGUCCCUAUCUGCCGUGGGCGCUGGAGAACUGAGGGGGGCUGCUCCUAGUACGAGAGGACCGGAGUGGACGCAUCACUGGUGUUCGGGUUGUCAUGCCAAUGGCACUGCCCGGUAGCUAAAUGCGGAAGAGAUAAGUGCUGAAAGCAUCUAAGCACGAAACUUGCCCCGAGAUGAGUUCUCCCUGACCCUUUAAGGGUCCUGAAGGAACGUUGAAGACGACGACGUUGAUAGGCCGGGUGUGUAAGCGCAGCGAUGCGUUGAGCUAACCGGUACUAAUGAACCGUGAGGCUUAACCUU
rnacentral:rRNA from 1 species